ACCAGGCAUUGCAUUUCAUCCCAUCAUUUGAUCAUCUGAGAAAGAUAUGGAUCGAAUAAUGUAAUAUCAUCUUAGAGCUCUUUGAUCGAUCUCUGAUCGAUAUCUUUGGCUCAUUUGAUGCUCGAUGAAAUCUUACAAACACAGUAAUCCAUGCGGUUGUGGAAAACAGUUUUGACAAUAACACCGUUUGGUAAUGUGUUUGGAGGGAAAACGGCAAACGAAGGUUUUCCAGCAUGUGACAAAAGUGAACACAUAAUCCAAAGUCCUAUCCAAAGUUGUCGGUUUUACUUGAAAUUGAAUAUAAAUGCUGGAAAAAUGGAAGCCAGCCCUAGGGCCCCUUAGCUGGACAUUUUAAAUAAAUGUGUUUUAAAAAUUU